UACGUAGGGGGCAAGCGUUGUCCGGAUUUAUUGGGCGUAAAGAGCGUGUAGGCGGCUAGGUAGGUCCGUUGUGAAAACUCGAGGCUCAACCUCGAGACGUCGAUGGAAACCAUCUAGCUAGAGUCCGGAAGAGGAGAGUGGAAUUCCAGGUGUAGCGGUGAAAUGCGUAGAUAUCUGGAGGAACACCGGUGGCGAAGGCGGCAUCCUGGACCAACACUGACGCUGAGGAGCGAAAGCCAGGGGAGCAAAGCGGGG
rnacentral:rRNA from 1 species